GCAUAUCAAUAAGCGGAGGAAAAGAAACCAACAGGGAUUGCCCCAGUAACGGCGAGUGAAGCGGCAACAGCUCAAAUUUGAAAUCUGGUCCCUAGGGCCCGAGUUGUAAUUUGUAGAGGAUGCUUUUGGUGAGGUGCCGCCCGAGUUCCCUGGAACGGGACGCCACAGAGGGUGAGAGCCCCGUCUGGCUGGCCGCCGAGCCUCUGUAAAGCUCCUUCGACGAGUCGAGUAGUUUGGGAAUGCUGCUCAAAAUGGGAGGUAUAUGUCUUCUAAAGCUAAAUAUUGGCCAGAGACCGAUAGCGCACAAGUAGAGUGAUCGAAAGAUGAAAAGCACCUUGAAAAGAGGGUUAAAUAGUACGUGAAAUUGUUGAAAGGGAAGCGCUUGUGACCAGACUUGGGCGCGGCGGAUCAUCCGGGGUUCUCUCCGGUGCACUUCGCCGCGUCUAGGCCAGCAUCAGUUCGUCGCGGGGGAAAAAGGCUUCGGGAACGUGGCUCCUCCGGGAGUGUUAUAGCCCGUUGCAUAAUACCCUGCGGUGGACUGAGGACCGCGCAUCUGCAAGGAUGCUGGCGUAAUGGUCACCAGCGACCCGUCUUGAAACACGGACCAAGGAGUCGUCUUCGUAUGCGAGUGUUCGGGUGUCAAACCCCUACGCGUAAUGAAAGUGAACGCAGGUGAGAGCUUCGGCGCAUCAUCGACCGAUCCUGAUGUUCUCGGAUGGAUUUGAGUAAGAGCAUACGGGGCCGGACCCGAAAGAAGGUGAACUAUGCCUGUAUAGGGUGAAGCCAGAGGAAACUCUGGUGGAGGCUCGCAGCGGUUCUGACGUGCAAAUCGAUCGUCAAAUAUGGGCAUGGGGGGCGAAAGACUAAUCGAACCUUCUAGUAGCUGGUUCCGCG
rnacentral:rRNA from 1 species